UACAGAGGGUGCAAGCGUUAAUCGGAUUUACUGGGCGUAAAGCGUGUGUAGGCGGUUUGCUAAGUCGGAUGUGAAAGCCCUGGGCUUAACCUGGGAACUGCAUUCGAUACUGGUUGACUUGAGUACGGUAGAGGGAGGCGGAACUCCGGGUGUAGCGGUGAAAUGCGUAGAUAUCCGGAAGAACACCGAUGGCGAAGGCAACCUCCUGGGCCUGUACUGACGCUGAGACACGAAAGCGUGGGGAGCAAACAGG
rnacentral:rRNA from 1 species